rnacentral:rRNA from 1 species
AUGUAUAACAUUCAUCCAUGGAUGGAUGAAUCAGAUGGGGCAGGUGAAGUUCGCGGGGCACUUCUUGCCGCACUGGUUGAGGAGGAGGGUCAGGUCGAUGGGGACGUCGAGCUUGAUGCCGAGGAUGUUGGCCCUGAUGGCGGUGCAGAGGCACACAGCGGCGUCGAGGUCGGCGAGCCCGCCCAGGAGCGGGCAACACUGCUCGUUCGCCGGCACACCGAUCCUGAGCUUCAGCAGGUUCAGCACGUUGGCGCACACGCCCAGCUUCAGCGUGUUGAUCGGGCAGCUGCCCCCGCCAGUCGAUGGCACGACAGGCGGUGGGCGGAUCGGCGGGGUAGGAACGACAGGCGGGCAGUUGGGCCCGCAGCCCUGUACGGCGGCGAGGAGGAUCAGGUUCAGGGCGAGGAAGAGGGCGAGCUUAGACGGCGCCAUUGCUCUUACUGGUCUGUGGGUAAGCUUUGCAGGCUUUGCUAG